UAAAUUGCCCAAAUUACGAAGCUAUGCUGCCUAAAUACAAAGUUUUAUUUUGUACCUGUUUUCUGCCCUUUUGCCCCAAGUAGCUGUAGCAAAAAAGAGAGUGCUGCCAUUUCCCUGAAGAGCUUUCUCUUGUAUCAAGCCCUUUAGUCCCCUUGAAUUCCAAUCAGAGGGGCCAAACAGCUGCAGCUGCUCUGAGGGCUUUUAUACCCAGUGGGAUUUUCCCCCUCCCUUUUCCUGGAUGCCAUGGAAAUGAGAAGUGGGCACAAUCAGGGGUAUAUUAACCCCAGUCUUUGGGUGAGGGGCUUCAUUCCCUCUCUGGGAUGUGCUGGGGUAAGAGCUCUCCUCUCAUUUCAGUGAAGAGGCUCUUUCAGCUUAUCUCAUCUUCCUUUUAGCAGGUGCUUUUAGAUAUCUAAAGCAACAGAGGCUUGAAGGCACUGUGAAGAAAACAGCAAUGAACACAGGGAGUAUUUAAGUUCAUGAUUUUUGGGUUGUGUGUUUAGGAGUGGUAAGGUGCUUUGGUAAUUCCUGGUUUUGCUUUUGUGUUUUUUUUGUUUUGUUUUGGUUUUGGGUUUUUUGUUGUUGGUUUUGUUUUUCUUUGGAAGAGUGCAGCUUCCUGAGAUUCCAGGUUUUGCCAAGUGCAACACUUGAGAUUUUUCAGCAGUUUUAUCAUGUCACAAAAGAGUGUUGAAGAUAAUGUCUUAGAUUGAGGGUUUAGAUGAGUUGAGGAUUGUGACUAGGAGAGGGAUGGUGAGCAGGUAUCUGGUUAGGAAGUUAUUCUGGGGAGUUUUGAAGGCAGCAGGGUGAGAAAUGGUGUUUAUUUGAGCCCCCCCCCCCCGCAAGGCUUUUCAGAAGCAUAGCAGAGGCAUAGAGGCAUUCACAUGUCUAACAGCACACAAAGUCAUCCACUGCACUCACAGGAAUGCCAUUUAACUUUGCCUUUCUCUAACCCAGGUGCCACUCCUAAUGAAGGCCACAGCCUUGGAAUCAGGAUGAAGCUGGAGCCUGAAGGAGCCAGGCACACUCAGGAGAGGGCAAGCAGCUGACUGGCUGGGAUAUGGCCCACAUAACUCUGAACUCAUACAUUGGUUUUGGUUUUCUUUAUUGUAGCUAACGAAGAGGUUAACAGGCAAUCACGAGGCCCUCUGAGGCAGACUCAUUUGAGGUGCAACGUGGAUCCACAUCACCAAUCAUCCAAGAGAUAAGUUGGGAGCCAUGGCUUGGAGAUGGGAUGAUGGGAGAGUAGCGGGUUGGGAGUUCUUGGUACAGGUUUAAAAAUUAGCAGAGGGAAAAGCAAACUUCUCCAAGGGGCUCUUAGGACAGCUAAACGGAGAGGCUCUACUUUUGAUGGCAGCUUUCAGGCGGGCAGUGCAGAACAGCUCUGGUCUGUCUGGUGUUGUCCAGUGUACCGUGUUACCUAGUGUGUCUUUGGGGUCCCUUUCACCUUCUCCCCUUGAGGCCCUCACCACAAACAUAAUGUGUCGUGUUUAAUGUCCCCCCAUUUGUCACGUUCUGUGUCACGGGCGUCUGCACACAUUUGUGCCGGAGCUGUUCUGCCCUGCUUCAUAGCCUGCUGCAAUAGAACAAGUCCUGGGGACUUGCAGUUUGCGGGGUGUCACUUGACUAGAUGAUAUUCCUAGAUAGACACAACGUGUUUGGAGCUGUGAAGUCAUCCUGCAGCCCUUUGACUUUUGUCCUCACUUUCAGAUGCAGAGGAUAAAAUCCAGGGCAAAACCCAUCCACCCAUCCCGGGUGAGGAGGUUCCCCCAAGCAGGAAGUAAAGCUGGAUAUCAGCAGUCCAGGCAGUCCACUCGGAGCACCCCAAGCCCCAGUCACCAACUGGCUGACGGCCCGGGUUCGCUGCUCUCCUGAGCCCUGCAGAAGUAUCACGGGACUCGGCGAUGAAGCCCCUGCCUUUUCUAUUUAAAGGUGUCACCAGGGUGGCCUUCAGCAAUGGCCAAGGAGUUGCGGCCUACCCCGUGACGAUGGUGUCAGCCUCUGAGUGAGGACAAAGCUUGUGCCCCCAGGAGCCCGGCAUUCUUAGGACAAUGCUGGCUAAGAAACACCAGGAGGUUGUUGAACAACAGUGCCAGCAGGACCUUCCCUGAUGUAGAGGCCACCAUCUUUUGUAAAUGACAUGGACCUGCAUCCCCAGAUGUCUGAGAGAUAAGUAGAGGGCUAAGACCCACAGAGAGGAUGAAAGCAGGGUGCUGGUUUGGGAAUUACUGGAGAGGUUUCUGAGUCAGCUUUGGAGAUGGGAGGUGUUCAUGAAGUGGCCCUUUAGGCCUCAUAAAAGCAAAGUCUCACUUUUGAUCACAGAGCUGAGGUGUGCAGCAGGGCAGAGCAGUCCCGGUGUGUCUAGUGUCACUUGUCUAUUGUGCAUUAUGUGUUGUUUGGGUAUGUCAUGUCUUUUACCUUAGCCCUUUGAGGAGACUGUCAGAAACCCUGGCAUCAUUCUUAGCAUCUGUGAUCUCUGCAUUCCUUGGCCUGGCACCCAGGCCAUAGAACUUUUGACUCGGGAGCUCAGACAGGCAUCAGACUCUCUUCUGCCUUUGGAAGCAUCCUGUCAGAUGUCUUUUCAGGUCUUGUUCUGAGCUGUAUGGACAGCUAUGCCCCACCUGGAUCCAUUAUGGUGGAUUAGGGCUUGUAAUAAUAUGAGGUUAGGUACAGGCUUCUGACCAUAGGACUCCUAGGCAUCCAUCUUUGCUGUUCUUGGAAUAAAUCAUCCAGUUAGCAUCUUCUUUUUCCAGGGUUCUCUGAGCCUCAUCAGCUCACCAUCGGUCUUACCUCGGUCAUCACCUUUUGCAUUCUCUCAGUCCUUGCAGCCAUUUUCCUUGCCAAGAGAUUUCUGUCUGUGUUGUGUCCCCAUUGUCUGUCCCGUCCUGUCCUGUGUCACAGGUGUCAGCACACAUUUGUGCCGGAGCUGCUCUGCCCUGCCGCAUAGCCUGGUGCAAUAGGAGAAGUCCUGGGGACUUGAAGUUUGUAUUGUGAGGUGUUGGUGGACUCUAGAUGGGAUUUGUAGAUGGACACAAGAUAUCUGGAGCCCUUAAGUUAUCCUGCAGCCCUUUGACUCUUGUCCUAACUUUCUUUCAGAUGCAGAAGGAUAAAAUCCAGGGCAGAGCCACCCAUCCUGGGUGAGGGGAUUCCCCCAUGCAGGAAGUCAGGGCAAAGAGCAGCUGUCAAGGCUGAGUGGGCAAGAUGGUCCGCUUGCCAUCUAUCCUAGCCCAGCAUGCCCGUGCCAGGUGCUGUCACUGCCCUAGGCAUGACCAAGGAACAGAGGAGGGCAGGUACCUUCUGGGCAGCCUCCAGAGUCAAAUCAAGACUUGAGGUACCCUGGGGAGGCUUGUAGCCACAGCUUGGAAGCGGCAGCACCGAAGCACACACAUUGAGAACAUCUCAACAUCCAUAUCUGACCGACGAUGGCUUUUGUCCGCUCGUCUUCCAAAAGCUAAGGGUCGGGGCCAGUGGUUGGGAGAAGGGGAAAAGCCUUUACUAUCACAGGAGGCAAUCUGAUGUCAGCUUAGCGGAGAGGUCUGUAGUGGGAUGGGCUCCCUGGAAGUAAAGGGAGAGGGUUUCUCCUCAGCCUCACCAGAGCCUUUGCCGGGCAGGGCAGUUCCGACCCCUCUCCACAGCGUCGCGAACUUUGCGUUGUCAGCCUUCCUCGACUCAGCAUUGUCACGGAUCUUUCCCCCGAGGAGCUUGCCUUCAUGUCCUGAGCUAUAACCGUGGUCACCCAGCAGUCCGCUUCCUUCUCUAGGCUUGCCGAGCCUCUCGAGCAUCUUCUUAACUGCUUUGGCACUAACUUCUUUUAACGAGUUACAUUUCAUCAUCACAUGCUGUUGUCAUAGGGCUUCCUUUCCCUUGGCCUCAUCGGCCUCUGGCUCGUCUUGUGCUAGGACUCUCGGGUCCCUAAGGGGAAAGUGCCAAUCAGUUGCAACUUGUCUCUGUGUUAUGUCAUUUGUGUCUAUGUUAUGGUGUCCCUGUCUGUGGUAUGUAGUGUGUGUCAAUUGUCUUCCACGUCAUAGGCCUUUGUUACAUCUCGAUGCUUUAUCGGCACUCAUCUGUGCCAUAUAGGCCGCGUUCUACUCACAUUCCUUUCUGGAUAUCCCUUAUUCUGGCAUCUUUACAAUUUUGCUCUUUGAGACAGGAAUGUCUCACAGGGACAAGAUGUUCUCAUGCAUCUUCCUUCUCACUACCAGCUUUGCUGGUGCCUUUUUUUCCAUUGUCUUGGACUUCUACAGGGAGCGUCUUACACCCUCUUCAGGUGACUGCAGUAGUUCUGUAGGUUCUAUUUUCUCAAAGGGUAUAGGGCUCAAGAAUUCAUCUUCCAGAGAGUUAUCUCCAGUCCUGGCUUAUAUUGUAUGUACCUAUAUCAUGUGUACCUGUAUUGACGUAUAUUGUAUGUACUCAUAUUGUAUGUACCUAUGCUGGCUUGUACAGUAUGUACUUACAUUGUAUGUACCUAUGUUGGCUUAUACUGUGUGUACUUAUACUGUAUGGAAGCGCGUCACCCUAUAUUAUGUGUAUUUACACUCUGUGUAUACUUGCACUGUAUGUAUCAGCUUAUAUUGCGUGUACUUACAUUGUACCACUUAUGAUCAGAGCUGCCCUGCCCUGGUACGUAGUCACAGUUAGGUAGAACAGUUAUAGAAAUUUUACUCUUCCUCAGAAGCCUAGCAGAGGUAUUCCCAUGUCCUACAGCACACAAGGUUAUCUACUGCACUCAUAGGAAUGCUGUCCAACUUUGCCUUUCUCUAACCCAGGUGCCACUGCUAAUAAAGGCCACAGCCUUGGAAUCAGGGUGAAGCUGGAGCCUAAAGCAGCCAGGCACACUCAGGAGAGGGCAAGUAGCUGACUUGCUGGGAUUUGGCCCGCAUAACUCUGGACUCAUACUUUGGUUUUGGUUUUCUUUAUUGUAGCUAACCAAGAAGCUAACAGGCCAUCACGAGGCGUUCCAAGGCAGACUCAUUUCAGGUGCCACAUCACCAAUCAUCCAAACGAUAAGUUGGGGGCCAGGGCUUGGAGAUGGGAUGAUGGGAGAGUAGCAGGUUGGGAGAUCUUGGGGCAGAUGUAAAAAUUAGCAGAGGGAAAAGCAAUCUUCUCCAAGGGCCUCUUAGGACAGCUAAAGGGAGAGGCUCUACUUUUGAUGGCAGCUUUCAGGCAGGCAGUGCAGAACAGUUCUGGUCUAUGUUGUGUUGUCCAGUGUGCUGUGUUACCUAGUGUGUCUUUGAGGUCCCUUCUACCUUCUCUCCUCAAGGCCCUCACCACAAGCAUGAUGUGUCAUGUUUAAUGUCCCCCUGUUUGUCGUGUUCUGUGUCACAGGUGUCUGCACACAUUUGUGCCGGAGCUGUCCUGCCCUGCCGCAUAGCCAGCUGCAAUAGGACAAGUCCUGGGGCCUUGCAGUUUGUGGGGUGUCACUGGACUCUAGAUGAUAUUUCUAGAUAGACACAAGAUGUUUGGAGCUGUGAAGUCAUCCUGCAGCCCUUUUACUUUUGUCCUAACUUUCUGAUGAAGAGGAUAAAAUCCAUGGCAAAAUCCAUCCAUCCACCCAUGCCGGGUGAGGAGGUUCCCCAGAGCAGGUCAGUCACUGUUUGUCUCUGCAGGGGGAGUUUAAAGUGUGACUCUGUUACAGCACUGUUCUUUUUCUUUUUAGGAAGUAAAGCUGGAUAUCAGCAGUCAAGGUGAGAUGGGCAAGCUGGCUAAGAAACACCAGGAGAUUGUUGAACAGCAGUGCCAGCAGGACCUUCCCAGAUGUAGAGGCCACCAUCUUUUGUACAUGACAUGGGCCUGCAUCCUGAGAUGUCUGAGAGAUAAGUAGAGGGCUAAGUCCCACA